UACGUAGGGACCAAGCGUUGUUCGGAUUUACUGGGCGUAAAGGGCGCGUAGGCGGCUUAACAAGUCACUUGUGAAAUCUCCGGGCUUAACUCGGAACGGCCAAGUGAAACUGUCAAGCUAAGAGUGCAGAAGGGGCAAUCGGAAGUUCUUGGUGUAGGCGGUGAAAUGACGUAGAUAUCAAGAGGAACACCUGAGGUGAAGACGGGUUGCUGGGCUGACACUGACGCUGAGGCGCGAAAGCGUGGGGAGCGAACAGG
rnacentral:rRNA from 1 species